CAACUAUAUUAGGGGUCAUGAUAUCUACCUUUCACUAUUGCUUUGAGUAUUGAUUGUAAUAGCAUAUGUAAAGCAAUUGUGGCGUAGGCCACGUUGUAGGUACAUAAGGUACACGCCGCCUUACUUGUCAGGCUCUGGUCCUCUAUUCAUAUAUCAGUAGGUCAAUGUCAUUGCUGGGACAAUACAGCUUAUAGCAGUACAGAGAUGAAGGAAAAGAAACUAUAUUAGAGUCAGCUAAAUGUUCCUUAAUAUCCUAUCUUCUUGUUAGUGAUAGAACUCACACAUUCUGGUCCCGCACAGGAUUUCUCAUCUAAAAACUACAUUUCCCAAUGUGACCAGAUUCUACCAGUGGAAGUUAGGAUGUGUACAACUUCUGUACUGCGCCACUUGCCUUCUACCUCUUCUUUCUCUUCCCACAGAUAUCAUAAAAUGAUCUAUAGCGGUGCACUCCAAGUGUGGACCCAGGGACAAGGCCUGGCCCAUCCUGCUAAGUUUUCAUUGGUCCACGGCUACAUGAGACAAAGGAAGGGCAAUGUGGCAGGUUGUUCAUAAAGCUACGUUGAUUAGAAUUUAUUUAACUUUUUAAAAAAGUUCUGUUCUUUAUUCUGAGGUAAUAUCGGUCUGACUUUUGGAAACCCCUUAUUUUAUGAAAUAAUGGUUAUGGGUGGUUUUUAAAAAUGGCAAAUUUAAAAGUUGAGGUUGGCCAGAGCUCUGUGAUGCUUCUUGCUGCCUGAGGCCCUGGUCCCUUCUCACUGACCAUGCAGAUCUCUCCCAUGUCCUCCAUGAGACUCAUGGCCCUGGGUUGUCCACCGCUAAUCACUGCAAAGUCACCCAUGCAGGCCCCCUGGCUCUCAUCUCAGCUCCCAUGUUGCACAGGAGCUAAGGCAGCCUAAAGAACACUGAGACCUUUCUUUCCUCACUGUGCCUAUUUAUCUCCAGGAUUGGGCUAGGGCCACCCUAUGUCUACAGAGGCAAAGGGGUAAGCAGGGCAAGAGCCCCUCCACCCAUUAUCUCAUGAUAAUCAAGUUAGGUAUAUACUGCGAUUAUACCCACUUGUGCAGAUUAGGAAAUGAGGGACAGUCAGCUUUGUACUCACAGUGCCAUGCCCAGGAGGAGGGAACCCCACUCUUAUUUGUUCAUCUUUCUAUCCCCAGCAUCUAGCAAAAUCAGGCACGUAGAUAAUAUUUGACAAAUGCCUUGAGUAAGUAAAUAAAUGAUUUUUCAUUUUUUAAUCA
rnacentral:lncRNA from 12 species